CGGACGGGUGAGUAACGCGUGGAAAACCUGCCGUAUACUGGAGGAUAACACUUAGAAAUAGGUGCUAAUACCGCAUAAGCGCACAGCUUCGCAUGAAGCGGUGUGAAAAACUCUGGUGGUAUACGAUGGUUCCGCGUCUGAUUAGCUAGUUGGUGGGGUAAUGGCCUACCAAGGCAACGAUCAGUAGCCGGCCUGAGAGGGUGAACGGCCACAUUGGGACUGAGACACGGCCCAAACUCCUACGGGAGGCAGCAG
rnacentral:rRNA from 1 species